ACGCGAAGAACCUUACCUGGGCUUGAACUGCACUUGACAAAGGUAGAAAUAUCUUUCCCGCAAGGGCAAGUGUAGAGGUGCUGCAUGGCUGUCGUCAGCUCGUGCCGUGAGGUGUUGGGUUAAGUCCCGCAACGAGCGCAACCCUUACCCUUAGUUGCCACCCGCAAGGGGGAACUCUAAGGGGACUGCUCCGGAUAACGGAGAGGAAGGUGAGGAUGAGGUCAAGUCAGCAUGGCCUUUAUGUCCAGGGCUACACACGUGUUACAAUGCAUGGUACAGACCGUUGCAAACCCGCGAGGGGGAGCUAACCGGAAAAAACCAUGCUCAGUUCGGAUUGCAGUCUGCAACUCGACUGCAUGAAGCUGGAAUCGCUAGUAAUGGCGUAUCAGAACGACGCCGUGAAUACGUUCCCGGGUC
rnacentral:rRNA from 1 species